rnacentral:rRNA from 1 species
UGGGGAAUUUUUGGACAAUGGGCGAAAGCCUGAUCCAGCAAUGCCGCGUGUGUGAAGAAGGCCUUCGGGUUGUAAAGCACUUUUGUCCGGAAAGAAAUCCUUGGCUCUAAUACAGUCGGGGGAUGACGGUACCGGAAGAAUAAGCACCGGCUAACUACGUGCCAGCAGCCGCGGUAAUACGUAGGGUGCAAGCGUUAAUCGGAAUUACUGGGCGUAAAGCGUGCGCAGGCGGUUUGCUAAGACCGAUGUGAAAUCCCCGGGCUCAACCUGGGAACUGCAUUGGUGACUGGCAGGCUAGAGUAUGGCAGAGGGGGGUAGAAUUCCACGUGUAGCAGUGAAAUGCGUAGAGAUGUGGAGGAAUACCGAUGGCGAAGGCAGCCCCCUGGGCCAAUACUGACGCUCAUGCACGAAAGCGUGGGAGCAAACAGGAUUAGAUACCCUGGUAGUCACGCCCUAAACGAUGUCAACUAGUUGUUGGGGAUUCAUUUCCUAGUAACGUAGCUAACGCGUGAAGUUGACCGCCUGGGGAGUACGGUCGCAAGAUUAAAACUCAAAGGAAUUGACGGGGUCAUAGCUGUUUCCU